ACCUUAUAAAGAGUGACGGAGGGACAGGCCCUAUGAAGUCCGGCAACCUGCAUCUGCAAGGUGCCAAAUCCUGCGGUAUGACCGAGAGAUGAGGA
rnacentral:ncRNA from 2 species